rnacentral:rRNA from 1 species
AGUGAACGCUGGCGGUAGGCCUAACACAUGCAAGUCGAACGGCAGCACAGUAAGAGCUUGCUCUUACGGGUGGCGAGUGGCGGACGGGUGAGGAAUACAUCGGAAUCUACUUUUUCGUGGGGGUUAACGUAGGGAAACUUACGCUAAUACCGCAUACGACCUACGGGUGAAAGCAGGGGAUCUUCGGACCUUGCGCGAUUGAAUGAGCCGAUGUCGGAUUAGCUAGUUGGCGGGGUAAAGGCCCACCAAGGCGACGAUCCGUAGCUGGUCUGAGAGGAUGAUCAGCCACACUGGAACUGAGACACGGUCCAGACUCCUACGGGAGGGAGCAGUGGGGAAUAUUGGACAAUGGGCGCAAGCCUGAUCCAGCCAUACCGCGUGGGUGAAGAAGGCCUUCGGGUUGUAAAGCCCUUUUGUUGGGAAAGAAAAGCAGCAGGUUAAUACCCCGCUGUUCUGACGGUACCCAAAGAAUAAGCACCGGCUAACUUCGUG